GCGUGGCAAUGAAAGGUACUGUGGCUACCUAGUGCCAGCACACUCCUUUGACAUAGGUGACAACAUUCUGCUUCUUGGACAGAGUUCAUGCUGUGUUGCCCACGUACAUCUACGAGAAGCCAUCCACUAGAGCAUGGUCAACCUACCUGGACCUCAUCCUUAAAGGAAACUGACUCUUCUUCCCCAAGAAGCCCUCAACAGUCCAGAGAUCACCAGGCAGGAGUGGUGGCCUCAUGAGCGUCCUCCCCAUGUUUAGAUGUUGACUAUCUUGGUCUUGUGCAUGUUUUGUUCGGGCAGCUGCAGUUGCUGUGAGAUCAUGUGUCAGAAGUUCUGUCAUGUCCAGAUGAUGCUGCUUCACAGCAGCUCUCUGUCUCUUAGAAUGUUUCUUCUCCCUUUCUGUGGUGCUCCCUGAGUCUUGGGGGAGGGUAUGUGGUAUAGAUGUCCCAUUUGUGGCUGAAUGCUCUGCUGCCAGCCAAGUCACCCUAGUGCUCUACAUAUCUUUACUCUGCAAUGGCGGGACCUGAAAUCAUCACUUGGAUGGACUACAAAGCCCUGCUGGAAAACUUGCAGCAGAUAGUGAGCUCCCAGAUCUCAGCUUUGGAUCUUUCAGCAAGUCUCAGACACAGCGUUGCUCACUGCAGGCACUGUCAGUCCGAACUCAGCAGCAACCCACAUCCUGCCUGUCUUCACCACCAUACCUGGCCAUGCUUUGCUUGCUUUUCUGUAUUUGUUUCAAAUUCUGUGACUGAUAAAAAGAAUUCCAUCAUA